GAUGAACGCUAGCUACAGGCUUAACACAUGCAAGUCGAGGGGCAGCGCAGUGUAGCAAUACAUGGGCGGUGACCGGCGCACGGGUGCGUAACGCGUAUCCAACCUUCCCGUUACUCUCGGAUAGCCUUCCGAAAGGGAGAUUAAUACGAGAUGGUGUUGAAAUUCCGCAUGUUAUUUCAACUAAAGAUUCAUCGGUAACGGAUGGGGAUGCGUGACAUUAGGUAGAUGGCGGGGUAACGGCCCACCAUGCCUACGAUGUCUAGGGGUUCUGAGAGGAAGGUCCCCCACACUGGAACUGAGACACGGUCCAGACUCCUACGGGAGGCAGCAGUGAGGAAUAUUGGUCAAUGGCCGGAAGGCUGAACCAGCCAAGUAGCGUGAAGGAUGAAGGUUCUAUGGAUUGUAAACUUCUUUUAUACGGGAAUAAAACCUCCCACGUGUGGGAUCUUGUAUGUACCGUAUGAAUAAGCAUCGGCUAACUCCGUGCCAGCAGCCGCAGUAAAAC
rnacentral:rRNA from 1 species